GAGGGUAUAGCUCAGAGGUAGAGUGCAUGCUUAGCAUGCGUGAGGUUCUGGGUUCAAUCCUCAGCAUCUCCA
rnacentral:tRNA from 1 species